UACGGGGGGGGCAAGCGUUGUUCGGAAUUACUGGGCGUAAAGGGCCAGUAGGCGGCCAACUAAGUCACACGUGAAAUCCCCAGGCUUAACCUGGGAACUGCGUGUGAUACUGGAUGGCUUGAAUUCGGGAGAGGGAUGCAGAAUUCCAGGUGUAGCGGUGAAAUGCGUAGAGAUUUGGAGGAACACCAGUGGCGAAGGCGACUUUCUGGUCUGUAACUGACGCUGAGGCGCGAAAGCAUGGGGAGCAAACAGG
rnacentral:rRNA from 1 species